rnacentral:lncRNA from 1 species
ACUUCGUUCCGCGCCUCAAAGGCGGAGUGCGGGGCUGUGGGAGAAAACGAGAGCCUCGGGCUGUCGCCCGGCGACGGGCGGCUGAGGCCUUCGUAUUCUUAGAACUUUUAGAAUCUGAAGCAAACUUAUCUUCCCCCUGUCUGAAGAAGGGGAGCAGGUUUCUGAGUACUCCGGGGCGCGGUGCCUCCCCCUAAACGCGAAUGGUGCGCUCCAAGCGGGAGGGGGAGGAGCAGAUUAGUUGUGUAGGGUAAAUUGGGCCAGUCCCAGAGUGGCGGCGCAUGCGCCCGUAGAACCCGUAACCGAGUGCGAGGAGGGGCCUGGGGGAGCAAUGCCAAACGCGGAAGUGGAGCUCUGGCUUCCCGGGGGCGUCGGAGUCAAGGUCCCUGGAGCUGCCGCUCUGGCUCCUGGGCGAUUCCGGGGAGCCAUUCUCCCCAAUUUGCCAACUCCCUGGGCAUCUCUCUCUCUCUUCCUGGUCCCGCCACACCCAAACAACUCUUAUAGUUCCACCCGGUAUACUGGUCUCUUGACAGGAACUUUUGGGAAAUGCCCCUCCCCCAGCCCCUUGUCUGGGGCAACUUCCUUGUCUCUUCUCCCCCACCGGUGUUGGGGAGUUCCUUGUCUCCACUCCCAACCACAGAGCCACAAGUACAUUAUCUAUGCCCAGGCGAGUCCCUAUGCCCAGGCUAGGAGAGCCGCACUUCUUCCUACAGCUGACACGUUUGGUUUUUGGAGGGGAAAGGGGAGCUGUAGCUGAAUCAGUAAUGGAAAUUGGUUCUUCCAUCUCUGCUUCUCUCUACAAAGCUGCUUUAUAAUCUCGGCAGAGCUGUUUUCACUGCUUUUUUGGGAACGUAAUCCAGGUUUACCCAGCCUCACUUCAAGAACAAACAGAGACUAAUUAGUAUCUAUGAAUCCCAAUCCCCAGGAGAAAGAAACUGAUUGGUUCGAUUUAUGUCCGCUUGUGUACUCUUGGUACAAUCACCUUUGACCAACAGGGCAGUUAUGUAGUCAGGUCUUUUUGUUUUGUAAAGCAGACAUGGCUGCCAGAACCCCAUCUUUGUAGGCUAUGUUCUCAAAGUUAUGUACUUGGCAAAGAUUCCAAAAAAUGUCCACCACAGACCAUAAAGGAGUAAAUUGCAGCUGAACUUCAAAAGCAUAAAGAACAAUUGACAUGUUAAGGAUUUUCAACAGACUGACUCCUACUUAAACAAAUUCAGACCUGAAUUUAAAUGGAACUCCUUCAAAGAAGUCAUCCCUGACCCAAGCCCCAAUCAAAAUUUGGUGGCCCCAUUAUUAUCUUACAUGGCACUCUUUUUCUUUAUAGUACCUAUCAUAGUUUAAAUAUGUAUUUGUGAGUCUCCUCUCCAAAAAUCAUGUCUGUUUUGUUUACUGUGAUAUACACAAUACUCAAGGUGCAUUUGGGAGGCGUUCAAUAAAUGUUGUAUGAAUAAAAGCACAAUAAUUUGUUAGUCAAUGUGAGACCCACAAAUGGAUUGGAGUCAUAGUUAGACAAUCCUGGGGGAAUGUCUUAGUUACCAACCCACCCUCCCUAGAAGACAUUGAAGCUCUCUGCUUUUUUUUUUUUCUGACCUCAUUCAUCACAAGGCUGCCAGCUUUUUUGUCACACUGAAGUUGUAUGAGAUGAGACAGUAUUUAGCUGCUGCUUAUGACGUUCCUAGCCAGAUAACUCUUUACUCUUAGUUCCCAGUGUCUCUAUCUAUAGAGCCCUUGAUCCAAUUCCUAUAACAAGCCCACUUAGUUGACUGAAAGCUCAGAGAGGACAUAAAAUUUCAGGGCAUCAUCAAAUUAGGGGAGCAAAGUGUGGGGGUAAUUGGCAGAGUGCUUUUGUCGUAAUUGUCUUGACUAUUUUCUGUCGUGUAUUAUGUUCCAGAUGAACCUGUGAUGUGACUCCUGGGAGUAGUUUGCAAUCACCAUUGGCCCAAAAGGAGCCAUCUACGUGCUCAGUGGGGUCUAGUAAAGGAUAAUAUUAAUUCUUCAGCAGCCAGAGCUUUUGAAGUAGGAACUGAGGGUGUAUAGAAAAGAGCCUGGUAUGAUUCAAGGUCAGGAGCAAACAAUGGCUGCCUUCUUGGUAAGAAUUCAAAAGACCUACUUAGCCCUGGAAGACUUUACCAAAAAGAAGGGACUUGUAGAGACCUGAGAGAAAGCAGAUGAUCCUCCACUCUAAUUCUAAUCCCUACCCUUGAAACUCACUCUCAGUUCAAAACUUGUCAUCAUUAUAAUCCAUCCUAACCUAGUAUUAGCCCCAAUGUCCAAUCCAAACUCUAGAUUUAAUUCUAAUCCUAAUAUUAUCUGUAAAAUUUAAUCUCAGUUCCCAACUCUAGUUUUAUGAGCUUAACAAAGGCUCUUUGCCUUGCCACUGAGUUAUUUUCCCUAGCUCCUUUUUCUUGGGUCCCUUGACCCUGACUGACGAAUGAGAGCAGAGAACCCUAUAACAUCCUGGACCUCUGGAGAGAAUGAGAGCCAAUUUCAAUAAUCCAGGUUGGAUCCAAGGCCUUGGGCUGCCAGGAAAGAGAAAGUGGGGCAUCUGUGACCAGAGCAGGAGGCAGAGACCCUGCCCAGUCACAUUUCUUGUUGCCUAAUUCAGGGACUACUAAGCCUCUGAAAGUCCAGAAUACAUGCACUCCAAGUCACCUAUGUAGACUCAGGAAUGUGAGGUACAGUUGGCCUACAGUGGAAGACCUGAGACCCCUCUGCAAAACAAUAUGGUUAGAUUAGACGAGUGACCCCUCUGCAAAACAAUAUGGUUAGAUUAGACGAGUGGCUUUUACGCUAUGUUCUCAGAGAGCAAGAAUUCUGAGUUUUGCUCUCCUCUUUCAUUUGAAUUUGGCUUUCCAAGGGGAUGAGAAAUUUUUUUUCAAAAGGCAUUGAACGAGAUCCUCUCUAAGGUUCCUUCUGGCCCUUGAGUUUUCUGAUGUGCAGUUGAUUCUUUUAGUCACUUAUGGUCCAGUUGGCAUGGAUAAACUCUCAGAGCCAAGGGAAAAGAAGGGCAACCAAGCAUACCAUCUCCAGCCUGUCUCAGGAAACUAAAAAUGAAUUAAAUAAAAUGAAGAGUGCGACGGGGAGAAAGGGAGGAGGGGAGAAAAUGCUGCCAUUUCACGUCCCAUGUUCCUCACGUUCAUGAAGCAAUUGCUGAUUUCCCUGCUGCUCACACCCAUCUUGGUGUGAAAUUUGAUUUUGCUGACUUUUAAAUUUAUUUUCAAGAAUGGAAAUAAUUGUUUUUCCUAGAAAUACUUGACCUUUGUGGGGAAAAAGAAAUUCAAACAAUGAGAAAGCAGAAGUCCUCCCUAAUACCAU